AAAUAAUCAAGUUACCAUACUGCAAGUCAAGAAAGUUUUAGCAGUCGGAUGAUGAUGAUUUUAAAAUAACAAGAGUAAUCAUGAUGAUCAUUAAUCAAGUCCAUCUACUAUUCAUGCAGAAAAAAAAAUCCUUUUAAGCGUAGAAAAAAGGGUGUGGUUCUUUCUUGUUUUAGUAACCUGCCCUAGCUAAUUGAUGCGAGGAUGAACUAGAAAUUCAUUCUAUGGCAGAUUAAGCGUACCCAAGUGCUCAAUUUUCCAAACUAGUUGCCGAUUCUGGAUAAGGUAAUCGACUGGCAAGAACACGUGUUUUUCAUUUCAGUGUUUUUGUCUUCUGUUUCAGUGAUUUCUUGUUUUAACCAGAGUCAGUUUAUAGUAUAUUAUGGUAUAUUCCUCCCCACUUGCCAAUUGCCAUGACUGUUGGGUCCAUCUUUGUUUGGUUGGUAAUCAUAAAAUAAAAGAAAAAAGAAACCUAAAACCUUGGAGGUCUGUUUUCUUUACUCGCUCUCGCCAGUCCCACUUGCCUUUUGUUCAUUUCGAUAUUCAAGUUGGGUUCUUAUUGUUUGUGGCUUCAAUUAUAGAAACGUGGAGAAAAUUUUUGGGUUUGCAGUUUGGUUUUGACAUUUUUUCUCAAAUAUGGGGGGAGUAUCUGUAGAUUGCUUUGCUGUAACUUCCUUGGUAUUCUUUUUGGCAACCCAAUGAAGGGUUUUGCUGUUCUGGAAGUGGGUUACUGCUAACAUGCAGUUAAUUUGGAAACCCAACUAAAUAUUGGGGUUUUAACUGUUUAAGGGCUAAGGAGGAUUGGUAAUUUGUGAUUAUUACCUCUUUUGGGGGCAGGGAUUUUCCUUUGGAAGGAAAAAAAAUUGAGAGAGAAGUUUGUUUGGAUGUGUGAUUUCUGAGGGAAGAAUAGAAAUUUUGUCAAAAUUCUUUAGUUGCAAAAAUUUCCAGAAGCUAGUAUGGCAGAAUUUAGAAGUGGCUUGUGAUUCCUGGGCGUUGAUUGAGAAAUUCUUUCAAGCUUGUUCGCUGCUUUAUUUUCUUUUUUUUGGUUUAUGAGAUGUUCUACGCGUUGAAUUACCCAUCUUAUGCAUUCAGUCAUGUAAAUUCUCAUAAAACACGUAAGGCAAGGUUGAAGCCAGUUCUAGCCAUACCCUCAUCAUCAACUGUCUUGCACACAGAUGAGAAUGGCAGUGGCUCUUCUGAUUCGUUGGUUAGUCAAGCAAAUACUGUUGGUAUAUUAGGAGGAAUAUCAGCAAAUUCUUCUCUGAAUUUCCUGAAAAAAGUAGUCCAGUGGAGUACAAAAGAUGGUCAAGAUUGCUUUCCAUUUGUUCUUUGCUCUGAUCCAGUGUUAAAUAAGAAGCUUUUAUUACAUGAAAGAGAGUCUUUUCCCUCUCUUGGUAGGGGAAAUGAACAUUCUCAAUUGGAUCAUACUCCAAUUUUGGAGAAUCUACAGAGGAAGAGGUUUUUUCUUGAGAAAUCAGGAGCUCACUGUAUUGUAAUGCCUUGUCAUAUUUCACAUGCUUGGCAUGAUGAGAUCUCAAAGGGGAGUUCUGUUCAUUUACUUCAUAUGGGUGAGUGUGUUGCUAAGGAGCUUAAGGAAGCUAAGCUGAAGCCACUAGAAGCAGGAAGUCCUUUGCGGAUUGGGGUGCUAGCAACCCAUGCUACUUUGAAUGCGGGUUUCUAUCAAGAGAAACUGCAGUGCGAGAUGUGUAGGUGCCAACUGCCAUGUCUAGCACUCUUGGUUUUGAUAUUUACAAAGAGCAUGGUGAAGAGACUGGUGGAUUUCAUGGAGUGUCAUGUUCAGUGCCCCUAGAGUUCUCAUAUGUCCUGCUCUUAGUGCUGGAUGGAGAUUUUGCAUGAUGAAGAAACAUGAAAUUCAGAUGAUAUAAUGGAAGAAUUAGGGGUUUGAGGUUGUGCUACCAGAUAAAGCAACCAUGGAACACGCUGUAAUUCCUGCAAUUGAAGCUUUAAACAGAAGGGAUAUGAAAGGGGCAAGGAAUCUGCUGAGAAUAGCAGUCCAGGUUCUUCUAGUGAGGGCAGUGAAUACUGUUAUCCUUGCCUCUGAUGAUCUGUGUGAUCUUUUGCCUCAGGAUGAUCCUCUUCUCAAGAAAUGUAUUGAUCCAAUCGAUGCAUUGGCCCGUUCAACUAUCAAGUGGGCACAAGCUGCUGGAACAGGUACAUAGUUGAAACUGAGAACGUGCCUAUUCUGUUCUUUAAUUUUGCUUUUCUGUUGUGUAUAAAAAUGCAGUCAUUAUUUGGAAACUUUAAUUUAUGGUUAUUGUCAUGCUUGGGA
rnacentral:misc_RNA from 1 species